UUCGCCUUCCCAACAGCCCAAGCCUGUGUCCUUGGCACAGGGCUGGUUACUGCUGGCCUGUCUGAGCAAGGUGUCUCUCUCCUUUCUCUCUUGGGCAGAGAGAGACUGGAGAUGAUGCCAAGAAAUCAGAUGACAUGAAAGUGCUGCAGCUAAAUGUGUGCAGUGACCAGGAAGUGGCUCAGGCGGCGGAGUUUGUGAAGAACAAUCUGAAGGAGCCGGAGAAAGAGCCUGUCCAAGUGCACUGCCACCCAUACAGGAGUUAACCAGUCUCAGACCAGAAUGCGCCACGUCAGGAUAGUGAGUAUCUGCCCCUUGCUCAUGGCUCUGCCCAUAGACAUCUGCACAGGAGCAUUUGGGGGCUGCUCCAUCUAAGAGCGUCCCCAAGGCCUUGUCCUGAAGGACCUGGGCAACGCUGGUACCAUAGAGGCAGACACAGGGCUUCGCGAAACCGAGUCCUUGCCCUGAAGCACGUAAAGUGGAAGGGCUUUGUCCUGCGGACACUGCUGGGCGCACCUCACGGCUGUAAACGCUCUGCCUGGCACCUGGGCUCCGACCUCCGUUCUUCACUGAGGCUCCGCUCUGGGGCCGGCUCAGCGGGGUGCGUGGGGCUCUGCAGAGGCGUAUGAGGACAGAGGCCUAAUUGCAAGCCAGUCGGUCUCAUUGCCAUCAAUGCCAGCUAGGGAGGUUCUGC